rnacentral:rRNA from 1 species
UCUGUUAUCAAAGAAGUAAUUCACUGAAGGAUGGGCUCGCGUCCGAUUAGGUAGUUGGUGGGGUAAUUGCUCACCAAGCCUAUGACGGGUAGCUGGUCUGAGAGGAUGGUCAGCCAGACUGGGACUGCGACACGGCCCAGACUCCUACGGGAGGCAGCAAUUAGGAAUCUUGCGCAAUGGGCGAAAGCCUGACGCAGCGACGCCGCGUGGUGGAUGAAGGCCUUCGGGUUGUAAACACCUUUUAUAGUGGAACAAGUUCUGAGUGUACACUAUGAAUAAGCACCUUCCAACUAUGUGCCAGAAGAAUCGGUGAUGCGUAGGGUGCAAGCGUUAUCCGGAUUUACUGGGCGUAAAGAGAAGCGUAGGCGUCUUAGUAAGUCUUCAGUGCAAUCUUUCAGCUUAACUGGAAAACUGCUGAGGAAACUACUUUGAUUGAGGCAGACAGGGGAAAGGGGAAUUCCUGGUGGAGCGGUGAAAUGCGUUGAUAUCAGGAGGAAUACCAAUGGCGAAGGCACCUUUCUGGGUCUGUUCUGACGCUAAGGCUCGAAAGCGUGGGGAGCAAAACGGAUUAGAUACCCGUGUAGUCCACGCCCUAAACAAUUCCUACUAGAUAU